rnacentral:rRNA from 1 species
GAUGAACGCUGGCGGCGUGCUUAACACAUGCAAGUCGAACGAAGCACUUGAUUUGAUUUCCUUCGGGACUGAUGAUUUUGUGACUGAGUGGCGGACGGGUGAGUAACGCGUGGGUAACCUGCCUUGUACAGGGGGAUAACAGUGGGAAACGGCUGCUAAUACCGCAUAAGCGCACAGCAUCGCAUGAUGCAGUGGGAAAAACUCCGGUGGUAUAAGAUGGACCCGCGUUGGAUUAGCUAGUUGGUGAGGUAACGGCCCACCAAGGCGACGAUCCAUAGCCGACCUGAGAGGGUGACCGGCCACAUUGGGACUGAGACACGGCCCAGACUCCUACGGGAGGCAGCAGUGGGGAAUAUUGCACAAUGGGCGAAAGCCUGAUGCAGCGACGCCGCGUGAGCGAAGAAGUAUUUCGGUAUGUAAAGCUCUAUCAGCAGGGAAGAUAAUGACGGUACCUGACGAAGAAGCACCGGCUAAAUACGUG